UGUCCCCAAAAGACCAUGUUCCGCUUGCUGCCAGACUGAGUGAGUUCAUCUGCAGGAAAGUCUCCGUCACCUCCGUGGCCAUGAGCAAUUGUGCUGGCCAGCGGGGAUCGAGAGGGACGGAACAGCAGCUCCCUGUGCAGAGGGCAAGUCCGCAGACAGGCCUCACCAGGGCCAGCAGUGACUAAGGAAGAUGAACUCACACAAAUCCUGAGGCAAAAGCAGUCAAGGACGGUUCCAGCCCUGGCUGUCAUGCUCCAGAGCAGAUGGCUGAUACAUCAGGCAGAGGAGCCAGCGCCUGGCACUCCCUGAGUGGGAAUCCACAUGUCAGGCUAGCAGCAAACUCAGAAAGACCCAGAACAGGAGAGAGGAGCAGGAGGUGGCCAAGCUGUGGGGACAUGGGGGACAGGGCUCCUCAGGCCAGGAGCUUGGCCUUUCAAGAGGACCUGUCGGGGCUUCUGAAUCCAAGGACCAGGAACCAGGGAUGAGCUCUCUGGUGGACAUCGGAGUAGACAAGCAGGCCUUGAAUGGACACAGGAACAGAACAAUGGAAGGGAUGAGUUGAGGAUUUCACCCGCAGGGCAGAAGGAGCCUGGGGUCCUCCCAGGGCUGCAUGACAGGUGUCUACAGCCACAGCAAGGACACUGAGUCACCCAGAGCAGGGGAGCUAGGGUCCUGGGCACUCAAUGAGGCAGCUGAGAGAUCCACUCAGUGGCACCUGGAGGGCUGGGCCAGGGUGGCUGACUGCACUCCCUGAGCUGCUGAUGUGUAGGAUGUUACCCGUGGCCUGUAGCUCCUGUCCUGAGGCAGAGGGGCUCUAGUCUUUCCAACCUUGUUUUGAAGAGCCAAGGUUUGUCCUGGCAGAAUGCCCUCGAGGCCUUCCCAAAGAACAGUUUGAAGGGAAGUGAGCAGCCUCAGAGGGCCAUGGAUGGGGUUGCUGUGUGAUACUUAGGUCCCUCCCACCUACAGAGGGGUCAGCUCCGUGUGGACAGUGGUGAGCUUCACCCAGCUGUGGCCGACCUUCCCUGGGCCUUCUUAGUGUUUACCCAGCUCCUGCAUGGUAUCCUUGGGCAUGUUGGGGACUUCAUGCCUGCCUUAUGCACAUGCCACAUGCUUCCCGCCUCCCACAGGCUGUUCCACGCAAACCAAGGCCCAGAUGCUUCUGCCCCAUAGGACGAGGUAAAAGGAUCGGCACUUUAUAGUGAUGCUUGGAGCAGCAGGACCAGGAGACGGUGGAUCGACUCCCACAACACACACUCUGCCUGACUGAUCCAGGACCUGGAGGGAGUCUCCCAAGACUGUCUCUUUGAUAUGCCCUUAACCCUCAACCCUCAGGCCUGCUCCACAGACUGCACCUCAAAAUAAAGUGCAGCAUACAGGCCUUUGCAGGCUGGAAUACCUGGUCUUCGGUGUGGCACAGAACUGGGUGAGCUCAAGGCUAAGCAACCAGUGGGAGAAAGAGGUAUGGGCAGAUGACUGACAGAGACAGCCAAACAGCAGAUUUUAAUGAGCUAUAAUUCAAGAAACAGAAAAAUAGAAAGAGGCAGACAUUUGUCCAAGUGAUACUUUAAGGGAAGGCAAAAAAAACCCCUGAGCCAAGAUGGUUUUAUGAGAGAGUUCCUCCCUAGGUUCCAGAAGGGCUCUUAGACCUCUGCUAGGCCAGGAGCUUUGGUUCCCAGGCCAUGCACAUAGCCUCAGGUCCCCAAAUGAGUGACAAGUCUGUGGUUCAUUGCACAGCUCAAUCUAAUCCUUACGCUGAUUUAAAAUGAAAACCCAAAAACUAACAUAGGUUUGAGUCCCCCCAAGGGUCAGACAGGAUUUGAACAACGUGAGUCUAAUUAUCAUCACCCCUUUUACAUAAGGGAAACAGCACAGAAAGAUUGAGUUACACACUGAAGCUCACACAGCUUCUAGAGCAGUGUGCAAACUUGGAGCACUUGUACGGGAGCCUGUAGUCCAAACUUCUACAAAGCACCACCUCACUGCAACCAGCUUUGUGACUGAGAGUGGAAAAGAGGUAACUCCACUCUCGGACCCUGUGUUACCCACAACCUCAUCCUCUGCGCAGUUUAGCAACACAUGCUCAAAUUUGCAGCUGUGCACUGCUUCAGCAAGAGCACCCGGUCUGAGAAACGCAUCAUUGUCCCGACACCCCAGAGUGCACUGACACACUGUUGUGACAAUCAAAUGACCUGACACAGCCUCUGGGAAAUCAAGAGCCACAGGACGCAGCUACUUGUACGGUGUGGCAGCCGUUUACAUGGAUGUCGGCUU